rnacentral:lncRNA from 1 species
UACCUUUCUUCAGCCCACUGCCAGGAUCUCUCUUCUCUGUGCAGUAGAGCCACCCAUCCUAGCACUAUGGUUUAAGUCUUUCUCAUGUAGAGUGCUGGAUGAAGGUAUCACACUCAAAUCUCUUCUUUAACCUCUUGUUUUUUGCCCAGGUAUAUAGGAUGUAGACAGCCCUGCAGCUUAUUCUCUACUCCACAAUCUCUUGCUUGUACCCAGCACAUCUCCAUCAGCUGUGGAGGACAAUGGAGAGUUGAAAUGCUUGGCCAGAUUUGGGACAUAUGUUUUUCCUCUCAGGUGCUCAUUUGGGGAAAGUGUGUGAUGAGACGUAUUAAUUGUGAUGAAGCCCCUCACAGAUCAUUGUCAUCUCUGGAAACCUUCCUGCAGGGACACUGGUUAUGGGGAAAAUGGACAGACUGUGCUGCAUGGAUGGAUGGGGCUGAAGCUAGUGAAAAGCGCACAGGAACAGCAGCCUCUCCUGGGAAGUUACCUCCUCAUGGACAAGCAGUCAGCCUUUCCCCCAGAGUGCAGGUGCUAGACUGCAGAGAACAAGGCACGGCACAUACUUCUGGCUGUUCCAGCUUGUGGCAGCCCUCACUGCACCCACUGUGAUGGGAGUCGCUUUACAAGGUGCCCAUCCCCCACUUCAGCCUGGGUUCUUCCUCCCCACUGCUCCCAGCUUCCGUCAGCAUCCUCCAGUGCUGUCCUUCCCUUUGGCCUACUGGCAAGGAACAAGUCCAUCCUGGCACAUAACCGUCAUGCAGAGCAGCUGCCAGCCCCAACCCCAGCAACCUGCAGACAGACCUUCCUUGGAGCCACGCAUGGUGUUUUUGGUUGCAGAAUUCAUCCUAGAAACACAUCGGUUUGGGGAUUCCUACAGCCACGUGGGACCUGAUUGGAUAAUGAAAACCUCAUCUGCAGCACUCAUUGGCAAACCUGGGAAGGAUCAAUUAUUUGCGGUGCCGGCUUUCCUCCCGGUGUCGUCAGCAGAGCCUUCCUUCGGCAUCACUCUGUGCAGGGACGGAUCCUUUCCCGGCUGUCCCUGGCUGACACCAGGAGUAACCGCACUGAACUCAAAGCCGUUGCUCCCGACAAAGAGAGAGCAAGCCCAGGGAGAAUCAGGCCCCGUUGCCUCCGCUGCAACGCCGAGUCCCUAAAGCGAUUGUACGACGCGAUGGUAAACAUUAUGGGAAGAUAUGGAGUAGGAUGAAUUAAAAGCGCCUGGCUGGAUCUACGGAGGGUUUGAUUUCACCCAGGAGGAAUGAACGAACGCAGAUCACUCCGAGUUUUCAAUGUCCGAGGCAUAAUCUAAUUUCUCAAUGUAGUCAACCAGUUGAAAUUUGCAAAAUAUGGACUCUACUGGGAAUCUGGCGGAGCUUGUCUGAUUAGCGUGUGCAACUGUUCAGUGGCAGAUUUUUGUGAGCGUGUAGUCUCUGCUUCAAACAGAAUCAUCACCAGCUGGUUAUUUUUUACUGUUAUUAGGUUAGAAAAUAUCACUGAGGUAUACAACAGUAAUCAUGAAGCUGUGAUGCCAGGAAAAAAAUAAUCACGUUAAAUUGACCUUCAUGAAUAAAGAGUGAGGUUCCAUUUCGUCUCA